GCAUUGGUGGCUCAGUGGCUGAAUUGUUACUUUCCAUGCAGGAGACCCGGGUUUGAUUCCUGGCCAAUGCA
rnacentral:tRNA from 1 species